rnacentral:rRNA from 1 species
AGUUCGAUCAUGGCUCAGAUUAUGAACGCUGGCGGGAUGCUUUACAUGCAAGUCGAACGGCAGCACGGGAUUUCGGUCUGGUGGCGAGUGGCGAACGGGUGAGUAAUGUAUCGAACGUGCCUAGUGGGGUGGAUAAUCUACGUCGAAAGCAGCUAAUACCGCAUACGCCCCCGGGGAAAGCGGGGACCUUCGCCUCGCACUAUUAGAGCGGCCAUUGAUUAGCUUAUUGUGGGGUAACGUCACCAAGGCGACGAUCCGUAGCUGGUUUGAGAGGACGACCAGCCACACUGGGACUGAGACACGGCCCAGACUCCUACGGGAGGCAGCAGUGGGGAAUUUGGACAAUGGGGAACUCCGAUCCAGCCAUCCCGCGUGCGUGACAGCGCCUUCGGUUGUAGCACUUUACAGAAGAAACGGCACGGGAUAAUACCCCGUGCAACUGACGGUACCCGCAGAAUAAGCACCGGCCAACGAUGCCAGCAGCCGCGGUAAUACGUAGGGUGCAAGCGUUAAUCGGAAUUACUGGGCGUAAAGUGCGUGCAGGCGGUUCGGAAAGAAAGAUGUGAAAUCCCAGAGCUUAACUUGGAACUGCAUUUUUAACUACCGAGCUAGAGCGUGUCAGAGGGAGGUGGAAUUCCGCGUGCAGCAGUGAAAUGCGUAGAUAUGCGGAGGAACACCGAUGGCGAAGGCAGCCUCCUGGGAUAACACCUGAUGCUCAUGCACGAAAGUGUGGGGAGCAAACAGGAUUAGAUACUCCUGGUAGUCCACGCCCUAAACGAUGUCAACUAGCUGUUGGGGCCUGCCUGUAGCAGCUAAUGCGUGAAGCGGAUCGCCGAGCAUUGGUCAGUACAUUUCAAAACCUCACGAAAUUGACGACCCGCAAUGUUGGUAUUAUAGUGACAACUGAUAAACAAGAAACCAACAAAAAUUUUCGAUAGUGUUCUGUAGAACCUGAAGAGAUUUGGGAGUGUCGCAAGAGAACCGAACACAGGUGCUGCAUGGCUGUCGUCAGCUCGUGUCGUGAGAUGUUGGGUUAAGUCCCGCAACGAGCGCAACCCUUGUCAUUAGUUGCUACUGUGAAAGGGCACUCUAUCGAGACUGCCGGUGACAAACCGAGGAAGGUGGAUGACGUCAAGCCCUAUGGCCCUUAUGGGUAGGGCUUCACACGUCAUACAAUGGUCGGGACAGAGGGUCGCCAACCCGCGAGGGGAGCCAACUCAGAAACCCGAUCGUAGUCCGGAUCGAAGUCUGCAACUCGACUGGUGAAGUCGGAAUCGCUAGUAAUCGCGGAUCAGCAUGUCGCGGUGAAUACGUUCCCGGGUCUUGUACACACUGCCCGUCACACCAUGGGGAGUGGGUUUUACCAGAAGUAGUUAGCCUAACCGUAAGGAGGGCGAUUACCACGGUAGGAUUCAUGACUUCGGGGUGAAGUCGUAAUAAGGUAA